GAGAGAAGUGAUGAUAUCAUAACCAUACCACAUUUCUGCAUUCACUGUGAUGAUCAAUUUACAUCAUGCACUACCAUCUGAUCUCCC
rfam:Triticum aestivum genome assembly, contig: Triticum_aestivum_CS42_TGACv1_scaffold_051135_1BS